rnacentral:lncRNA from 1 species
ACAGUGGGCAAAUUCCUUACAGUUUUAGGAGCUCUUCCCACGUGUGUGUUUGAUAUAGAAACAGGAUCUCAGAUGUUUCUCUCUCUGGAGAGGAUAUUUAUUGACAUAAAAGAAAGGCAAGGUUAGAAUGGUUUGUCUAUGAACCUGUGUGAGCAAGCCCCUGGUAUAAGGAACUAUAUCUAUUAGGACCUAUUUAUUAUUACUGUCUAGCAGUUAGGGUCUAUUCUAUUUUCUUUUUAUUGUUUUUUUUCUUUUGUCUUAUUUUUUAAAAGAGAAGUAGAUGGAAAAACAUAUGGCCCUCUUCCUUUGGAUCAGAAGAUUUUUUUAUGGCUCACAAAGCUAUGCUCAUCAAUCCUUUGGUGUUGACAGCAAGGUAUCCCACAGUAUCUACCAGGUAGCUGUUGACCUGUAAAUCAUCCACCUUCUCUCCCAGACUUAUUGCCUCUGGGGAGCCCCUGCAUGGCAGCCUCCAGCUUGGAGCUGAAAAUAAUUGCUGAUCUUUAUAAAGGCACAGAGAGGCCUGAGGGAAGGAAUACUGGACCUAGAGAAUAGUGGCAGUGGUACAAAAGGGGCUGACCAGUCUGUAUAGUAACCUUUUUCUAAAAAAUUCAAUUGCAAGCCUUCCCAAGUCUGCACAUCCAGUUCUGUUGGCUUGUUAUCUGCGGCAGCAGAGAUCAGAUAUGAUGACAAAGCUAUGUGAACCCUGGGUGGAGAGACAUUCCCGUGAUGUGCCCUGUGGGACUUUUUCCUUCCAGCUGACAGCAUCGUCUGUUACAAAAAAAAAAAUAAAAAAAUAAAAAAAUUGUGCUUCUAAUCAAGACUGAAGCUGAGAAAUUGUCCUGACAGGGAUGGAAGCUGUAGCAUGCAUGGCCUGUUAGAUUUGCAUUCUUUGUUCAGUGGGACGUAAAGUCACUACCAACAAAUUGAAAUACCAAGGCUAGUCUCUCUGACUUUCCUAAACACAAUCACUCCACCCUCCACAUGCAUGCCUGCAGAUACACACAUCCACAUUACUACUACAGUCAAGUCUUUUUUUCUUUUUAGUUUCAGGUGGAAUCAAUCAAUCAAUUUCUCUCUGUGUAUCUGUCUCUCUCCAAUACUUCCCUGACUCAUGGCUGAUUUUCCUUCCAGAUUUGGUUUGUUUUAAAUUCAGGACAACCUUGAUAAAAUAAAGACACUUUACCACUAAGGAGAUUUGGGGGAAAGAAAAUAAGCCUCUGUCCUUAAAGGAAAUAGCAAAAGUUGAGUCAAAAAAUUUUUUUGAGUGGGCAUUAAUUGCAGAAAUAAGUGAGCGUUUCCCCACAAUGAUUA